ensembl:lncRNA
GGCAGCUAUGACCCAAACCAGUGAGGGGUUACCAGCUUUACCUUCCAGAAGAAAACAGGCCUUGAUCUGCACCAAAAGGCACUCUGAAAUGUAUUCUGGGUUUUUCUGGAUGUACUGGUCAGUGCAGACAAAUACAGAAGUGCUGAGGAGAGCUGACAUGCCGGGGUUUCUCUGUUGGUCUGGAAUACUCCUCACAAGUCUCUUCACUGACAAAAUGACUGCUGUGACUUGUUUGGGCCACCUAAAGCGAAAUCAGACAUUUGUGACAAAGCAACCGUCAAAUACAAAGGGUUAUGUGAAGAAACAUGCUUUGCAUAUCCGUAUUUCAAGUUAAAUAUUAACACCUGUAUUUUUUUCCAUUAUCUGG